CGGUAACAGAAGAAGCUUGCUUCUUGCUGACGAGUGGCGCACGGGUGAGUAAUGUAUAGCUAACAUGCCCUAUAGAGGGGGAUAGCCACUGGAAACGGUGAUUAAUACCCCAUACUCCUUCUUUAUUAAUUAAAGUUGGGAAAGUUUUUCGCUAUAGGAUUGGGCUAUAUUGUAUCAGUUAGUUGGUGGGGUAAUGGCCUACCAAGACAAUGACGCAUAGCGGGUCUGAGAGGAUGAUCCGCCACACUGGAACUGAGACACGGUCCAGACUCCUACGGGAGGCAGCAGUGGGGAAUAUUGCACAAUGGAGGAAACUCUGAUGCAGCAACGCCGCGUGGAGGAUGACGCAUUUCGGUGUGUAAACUCCUUUUAUAUAGGAAGAUAAUGACGGUACUAUAUGAAUAAGCACCGGCUAACUCCGUGCCAGCAGCCGCGGUAAUACGGAGGGUGCAAGCGUUACUCGGAAUCACUGGGCGUAAAGCGCGCGCAGGCGGUUAAAUAAGUUAGAAGUGAAAUCCUACAGCUCAACUGUAGAACUGCUUCUAAAACUGUUUAACUAGAGUCUGGGAGGGGAAGAUGGAAUUAGUAGUGUAGGGGUAAAAUCCGUAGAGAUUACUAGGAAUACCAAAAGCGAAGGCGAUCUUCUGGAACAGUACUGACGCUGAGGCGCGAAAGCGUGGGGAGCAAACAGGAUUAGAUACCCUGGUAGUCCACGCCCUAAACGAUGAAUGUUAGUCGUUGGGAGACUAGUUCUUUCAGUGAUGCAGUUAACACAUUAAACAUUCCGCCUGGGGAGUACGGUCGCAAGAUUAAAACUCAAAGGAAUAGACGGGGACCCGCACAAGUGGUGGAGCAUGUGGUUUAAUUCGAAGAUACGCGAAGAACCUUACCUAGCCUUGACAUUGAUUGAAUCCUGUAGAGAUACGGGAGUGCCUUCGGGAACAUGAAAACAGGUGCUGCACGGCUGUCGUCAGCUCG
rnacentral:rRNA from 1 species